rnacentral:rRNA from 1 species
GGAGGGGGCGAGCGUUAUUCGGAUUUACUGGGCGUAAAGCGCACGUAGGCGGCUAGGUAUGUCAAAGGUGAAAGCCCUCGACUCAACCGAGGAACUGCCUUUGAAACUGCUUGGCUUGAGUCCGGGAGAGGGGAGCGGAAUUCCCAGUGUAGCGGUGAAAUGCGUAGAUACUGGGAGGAACACCGGUGGCGAAGGCGGCUCCCUGGACCGGCACUGACGCUGAGGUGCGAAAGCGUGAGUAGCAAACAGGAUUAGAUACCCUGGCAGUCCACGCCGUAAACGAUGGGCACUAGGUGCAGCGGGUGUCGACCCCCCUGCUGUGCCGAAGCUAACGCAUUAAGUGCCCCCGCCUGGGGAGUACGGUCGCAAGGCUG